AGGAAAAGAAACCAACAGGGAUUGCCCUAGUAACGGCGAGUGAAGCGGCAACAGCUCAAAUUUGAAAUCUGGCGCAAGCCCGAGUUGUAAUUUGUAGAGGAUGCUUCUAGGUAGCGACCGGUCUAAGUUCCUUGGAACAGGACGUCAUAGAGGGUGAGAAUCCCGUAUGUGACUGGCCCGCACCUUCUACGUAGCUCCUUCGACGAGUCGAGUUGUUUGGGAAUGCAGCUCUAAAUGGGAGGUAAAUUUCUUCUAAAGCUAAAUACCGGCCAGAGACCGAUAGCGCACAAGUAGAGUGAUCGAAAGAUGAAAAGCACUUUGGAAAGAGAGUUAAAAAGCACGUGAAAUUGUUGAAAGGGAAGCGCUCACAACCAGACUUCUAGGCAGUGUUCCGCCGGUCUUUUGACCGGUCUACUCUCUGUCUCGAGGCCAACAUCAUCUGGGACCGCCGGAUAAGACCUUAGGAAUGUAGCUCCCCUCGGGGAGUGUUAUAGCCUCUGGUGAUGCGGCGCGUCUCGGGUGAGGUCCGCGCUUCGGCAAGGAUGUUGGCGUAAUGGUUGUCAGCGGCCCGUCUUGAAACACGGACCAAGGAGUCUAACAUCUAUGCGAGUGUUCGGGUGUCAAACCCCUACGCGUAAUGAAAGUGAACGGAGGUGGGAAGCGUAAGCUGCACCAUCGACCGAUCCUGAUGUCCUCGGAUGGAUUUGAGUAAGAGCAUAGCUGUUGGGACCCGAAAGAUGGUGAACUAUGCCUGAAUAGGGUGAAGCCAGAGGAAACUCUGGUGGAGGCUCGCAGCGGUUCUGACGUGCAAAUCGAUCGUCAAAUUUGGGUAUAGGGGCGAAAGA
rnacentral:rRNA from 1 species